rnacentral:snRNA from 1 species
GUACUCGCUUUGGCAGCACAUAUAUUAAAAUUGGAAAGAUACAGAGAAGAUGAGCAUGGCCCCUGCACAAGGAUGACAUACAAAUUCAUGAAGCAUUCCAUAUUUUU